AGAGUUUGAUUCCCUGGCUCAGGACGAACGCUGGCGGCGUGCUUAACACAUGCAAGUCGAGCGGUAAGGCCUUUCGGGGUACACGAGCGGCGAACGGGUGAGUAACACGUGGGUGAUCUGCCCUGCACUCUGGGAUAAGCUUGGGAAACUGGGUCUAAUACCGGAUAUGACCACAGCAUGCAUGUGUUGUGGUGGAAAGAUUUAUCGGUGCAGGAUGGGCCCGCGGCCUAUCAGCUUGUUGGUGGGGUAAUGGCCUACCAAGGCGACGACGGGUAGCCGACCUGAGAGGGUGACCGGCCACACUGGGACUGAGACACGGCCCAGACUCCUACGGGAGGCAGCAGUGGGGAAUAUUGCACAUGGGCGGAAGCCUGAUGCAGCGACGCCGCGUGAGGGAUGAAGGCCUUCGGGUUGUAAACCUCUUUCAGCAGGGACGAAGCGUGAGAACGUACCUGCAGAAG
rnacentral:rRNA from 1 species